GUGCUCAGUUCGGCAGCACAUAUACUAAAAUUGGAACCCUGCGCAAGGAUGACACGCAAAUUCAUGAAACGUUCCAUAUUUUU
rnacentral:snRNA from 1 species